rnacentral:misc_RNA from 1 species
UGAGAAGAUAAGUGCCACUGGCUUAAAGGUAAAAGUGCAAAGCACUUGCUUAUGAAGUGAAAGUAGUAGAGUGGCUUGUGAAGGCUUGUUACGUUAUUUUUAACCCAAUCAUAAUAAUUUGUCUUAAUGUUGUUGCCUAGAUUAUAUAAUCGACGUUAAAAUAUGCUCGUGGGAUGAUCUUUUACAUGCAAUUUUCUCUGAAAUGCUAAUAUUUCUUUCGUGUGAGAGGACCUGAUGCUGCCCUUUCUGAGUAUGAAUUUCUCGUAUUCAUUGAUAUCACUGGCAACUUGUAAAAUAUCCUUCUCAUAUGUGUUACUGUCCUUAGUUUGAAAUCAACUACACAGAUGAUUCACAGAUAAAUCUAAUAAGAAAUUGCUGGAUUGCAGUUUGUUAGUUUUGCGACCUUUCCCUUUGUUAUCUAUUGUGAAUGAAAAAUGAAGGCUUGUUAGAGAGAACCUUCCGACUGAGCAUUUAGGAACUCAAACUUGAAUAAGACUAGACUUAAUAAAUUUUAUUUCUGAAUAAAGUGCUUAAAAACACUGAUUCCUAACUGGCGUCUAAACAAGAAUAUACUCAUUUAUCAAUUACAAGUAUAUGCCCUAAACAAGUUUUUUUUCCUCGGCAACUAAUACUACCAUAACUAGGAAAAUCAAAUACUACUUGAAUUUGGAAAACUAGAUGAGGAAAAGACAGAAAUCCGUAUAAACUAAGGAAAGGACAGAAAUCUGAAUAACUAAGGAAAGAAAUCAAUUUUAUGCAAAUCAGUUUUGUGCCUUCUUUUUCCUAUGGGAGAACCUCUUAAUUAUAGAUUUGCUGAAAGUCUCUGGUUUGCGGUUUGUUCAUAGCAAUAUGCUCGUGGUAAGUAGUCCUUAUAUUUAUUUUAUAAUCAUAUAUAUCUUCUAGUUUUAACGGAUUUAUAUUCUUAGAUGUACUAUUUUAUGCUUCAUAUUUAUUUCCACUUCCUAUAGUAGUGUAACACCAAAGUGUGCUUAAGCCUUAUUAGUUAAAAAUUAAUGAGUGUUUUAAACAUCACAUCAGUUUUUCUUGAUCUUCAUUUCUUUUUCCCUCAACUAAGGUUGUUCGCCUUUGUGCUAAA